rnacentral:lncRNA from 1 species
AUUAAUUCCAAUCACUAGUAAUAUAACAAUUUUUCCAUUCCACAGUUACAUCCCUACGGCACUCCAUACCCUAAAAUUUUCAUAACAUAUCAUAUUGAAUUUAACAUAAAAUAUAAAGGAUUAAACAAGAAAAUUAUUUAUUAAACAAUUAAACAAAUAAAAUAUAGUUACUCCAAAAUUACAUUAUCCAAUGUAUUUUUAUUUCAAAGAGUAAAUCAAUACAACAAUAUCCAAGAGAUUCAUACCUAAUCCUAAACAUAAUUACUAAUUUUUACAUGCUUAAUCGGUAUUGUUACUUGUCUAUAGAUAUUUUUGACCCAAUUGAUGACGGAGUGCCACUUCAUAAAUUUGAUGCCUGCUAAACAAAACCAAAAAAAAGAGACAGUAAUACAGGGAAAACCACAAUAACUAAAAAAUUGACAUCAACAAGAAUAGGAACAUAAAAGUCAAAUAGCUUCACUGACAGUAAUUUAUUUAUUCAACUGCAUUCCAGAAAACUAACUUCAGAAAGUCAAUGAUAAACAUAUAGUCCACCUCAUGAUCUACCAAAAAUAGAAUGACAGUUUCUGAAAGAGAGAGAGGCACCUUUCCUGUUGUGACUUCCACACCUCCUUUUAGGGGAUAAGGGAGUUUUUUCAAUUAAAGUAACAUUAUUAAAAAUGUGAUUAUUUAUUUAUUCAGAGUCGCUACUUGGAAUAAUUUAUGGUAUCCCAAGUCACCGGUUUAUUUUCAAAUUCCAAAUCGAGAAAAUUGACACUUAUUUAUGGUUUGUGAACAUAGAAGACUAGGUAAGGAUUUCUAUUAACCCGGGAUAAGGUGUUAGGCAUUUCCGGAUUUCGUAGUUUUAGCACGAUCGCUUAAUAAUUAACACUUGGCCUAAUUAUCUGAUUUAUUACCUGUUUUAAAUCUAUUGUGCAUUUUAUCUUUGACCGCUUUUGAUAUUCAAUUAACCGCUUUUAGUAUUUAUGAAUUUUAUUUUAAUAAGUCGCAAUGUCGCACAAUUAUUGUUUUUGUACACAUUGCUAAUCGCGUCACGUGAAAUGCACCCAUGAUUUGUAACAUGUUUAUUUGAUUAUUAUUUAAUUUGAAGUUGUAAGGUCGAGUCGCAUAAAAUGCGCACUUGACUUGGGGUUACGUAUCAUGAAUAUGCCACAGGAACCGUACCCAUAGUUACAAUGAUUUAUUUAUGAAUCGCGCCUAAAGCAAGCUACGACGUUCAUGAUUUAUUAUUUCCUAAUAUUGCUUUGAGAUGUAUUGCAAGGUCAUAUGAAUUAUGGAGAAAAAUCGUGGAUAGAAUGUAUAAAGAUUGAGAUAAAUCUAAGGUCAAUUGACAUGAGUAUCAAUUGGUUCAAACGUCAAUUAAUUAGUCCACUUGAGACUCAUAAACUUGGGAGGCGGCUAUUUGAAGAAUCUUGACAAGUUUAACUUAAUACUUCUGGAAAUUCUUAUUAGCAUACAUGCCUCUUCUCUUUUACAUUGUAGUUAGAUUUGCUCAACAAUUCCAAGACACAAGGCUAUGGGCUGGAGUUGGCUAGGUGAGGAUGAGAAUGGUCCUUUAACAGAUUGAAUAUAAAUAUAAUUGGGCUUUGACGUCGAGCCCACAACGCCACACAACAACAAAAUUUUCUCAUCACAUAUUACUGCCAAAACUUCUUAUCUAAACACAAGCUUGUAAUUGUAUUUUUAAUCAGAUUCAUAUUUAACUAUCAUGACAUACAAAUCAGUAAUAACAGUCAAUGAAACAUUAACAAAGAAAAUACCAAUCAGUUCUAACUCAUCACUUGAUACAAAUAUGAGGUGAGGUGUUUAAGAAUAACAUGUAUGAGAUGAGAUGCUUAAGGAUUUAUUAAUCAAAACAGGAAAUACUAUUACUGGAGAAUUCGUAUAUGAUAGUAGGCAAACCAACGAACAAACAAUCUAAGCUAAUAAUGAGACAUUUAGGCAAACAACUUUCAUUCAUUAAUUCAAAAAAAUAAUAAUUACAGAUUACUCAACGUACCUAAACUGAAGAUAGCAGCAACAGUACCAAAUAAGGCUGAAAUGAAGAUGAAGCUCAGCUACUCAACAAUCUACAACAGCAGCAACAAACAACCCCUUAAGAACUCGAUUUGACCUUGAAAACACAACUAGAUUUGUCCAGCAAAUUGGCAGAGUGAUAUUUUUUUAAAAUCCUUGGUUCUUCAACUCUUUUUCUUUGUUUGUGAAGCUCGUUUGAGGAGGCAGGCGGAAAUGGGUAGCUGCUCGAGGGAGAAGGAGUCUGUUUGGAGAUGAUGGAGAGAAAAGAAGAAGAAGAAGCUUAGCAUUUUCUUUUCAAGGGGAAGGUCUGUCCCGUUCUCUCUUGAGAGCAUCAGGUGGCGGCUAGGUUUUUAGUUUAAGGGGAAGUAUCAUCCGUUUUUUUUCUAGAUGAUUUUAGGGAGAUAGGUUAUUUUAAUAAGCGAAGAGAGGGAUGAUGGGCCAGGCGGGUCGGAUAAAUGGGAAUGGGCUGGGCGAAAUUGGAGCAAGAUUUGGGUCGCUGAUCACUGGCCCAGUUUAAAAAUAAAGUAAAUAGCCUCUUUUUUUCAUAGUCUAAAAUUUUCUAAAUUGACCAAUCUAAUUCUAAUUAAAGCUAACUUUGCAAAAUAAACCUAAUUAUCUAUUUUCUAAUAAUUAACUAAUUAUUUAACUAAUAAUGCAUGUAAAGUGCCUAAUGUAUUUUUGGUAUUUUAAUAUUUUACAAAUGCAAUUAAUUAUGCAAAUAAAAUCUAAAAAUAUAAAGAUUAAAAUAUUUUUGUUAUUUUUUAAGAUUUAAAAUGCACCAAACACAAAUACGCACAAAACAAAUCAAUUAAAAUAUAGAAAAAUUCCUAAAACUCUAUAAAAUAAUUAAAAGCUAUUUUUUGAGAUUUUUUUAGGAGUAAUUUCAUAUAUUUGGCAAAACUUAUGUGCUCACACUGACUAUAAUAUACUGCUUGAUCUUUCCCCUCACCCACCCCCUCUCUCUGCCACCCACCCAUGAUCGUACCAUGCAAGAAAGGGAGGAAGAGGAACAUAAUGGUUCAGCUCCUUUAUCAAGUAUAUGCCAUGCAACUUCUAAAAGUAUACCUGAUCAGUUAACCCAUACACUAUCAGAUCCUUCAAUAUUAGUUUUUCUUAACAGACAUACAAAUAACUAGUAGCGUCAAGAGUGUAUAUAUUUCAAGCCCCAACAGAAAAGCAAACAAGAAAAGAUGAGUAUUAUACCUGUGGAGGAGUAGGAAAUAAGCCAGCUAACUACUCGGGGAUAUCUCCUAAGACCAAGUCGUAUAGAACUUUGCUCGAACACUAGAGUCAAAACUGCACCCAAGUCUAACCUCGAACAUGACCGACGUAUUUUGUAUCCUUCAUAUUUCUCCUAAACGAAAGAUAAAAGAAUACUUAAAUCUUAUACAAAUAGUCUAUUAUUAUAUGAUAAAUAUCACAACUAAAAAAUUCAAGCAAUCAACCUACUAUUUAGCACAAUUUCUCUAGCCUCUUCAUUCAUAUAACUCUCAUCUAGCCGCUUAUGAGUUCCAAUCCAAUAUUCGCCUCGAUCAAUAUCUUUUUCCGGUGUCUAACUUCUGAAAUUUUCAAGAUGUAAAACAUUAGUACCUAAUUAAGGAUGUAUUUUAUCUUUAGAAUUGAUCGUUAAGCACAUCGUAUUACACUACCAUAUUAGUCCUUCUAGCCAAACUCAUAACACCACCAGACGACGAAUAGCUUGUUUUCAUCGAACCAAUUGAGUCCUCUUGCAAAGCUCCUGGUCCUGCAAGUUCAAAUAGGUGAAUUUCUUUAACAUAAGAGCAAAAUAUUUAUAAAUAUCUAAAGAAUGUACAUUUAGUAAGUACCUUUGUGGAAUAUUUCAAGUGAUAAUUAACAUACAUGCCUAUUAAUCUAUGGAAAUACCUCUGUUCUCUGUGAAUUAAAUUAGCAAUAAACUUCCUUAGGCUUGCCAAUGCCUUUCCUAUAACAGUCAGUAAUCUUCAUAUAACCUUAUCAAUAUGAACAAAGUGUUACAAAGGUUAUCAGUUACUAAAUCUGAAGUGUUUGUGCUAUCCAACUAUUUGCAAGUACCUUUACAGGUCAUGAGUUAGCUUUCAAACAGACUAUUUUAUAACUGAACUAUUUUAGCCUUCAUCAGUUUUUUGUGCUCAACAUUCAGCCUAUUGCAAAGAUGUGAAGCAAGAUUUAGCACACAAACAUCACCUUUCAUUCUGGAAUUGCAUGAUGAACAUGUGUAGAGGAAUGCAAUUGCCAAAGCACAAAGACAGGUAUCUAAAAGGAAUUAAUUUCUUCAAAAUAUCGUCAUAAAUGUACCAUCACAUAAUGAAGUUCAUUGGCCACCUAGUCAUAGAUAUUAUAUGUAGCAGAAUUAAUUUUAGAGUAAAACAUGGUCAAUACUAGACCAUGUCAUCAAAUUGCUUAAGCAGAAAAUAGCCAAGCAUACUUGCAUCAGAAACUUAAUCAUCAAACAAUUUUAAACUAACUUAAGGCAGUCACUUAGGAUUUUUAUCAAACAGUUCAUGUGCACAUCGUCAACUGUUGCUGCAAUUUACACAAUCUAUAAUCAACAAUGCUCAAAAAUGAGCAACACAGCAAAAUCCACAUGAAUCACACAUACUUAACUAAGAGACGAAAAUUCCAACAUAUGUUUCACAAACGAACAAACAAACCAACGUAAUACAUAAUACUGUUCACAAACGCAAAAAGGGAUUUUUAAGUGUCCCAUGCAUAGGAUAAUCUCUACCAUAUUAAGGAAUAUAUAACACUUACAGAUCUAGGAAAUAAGAAGAUAAGUAUUGAUGUACCUAUUUGCAAUCUGCGGCAAAUCUAUGUUUUCUCCAACCGUAAGAUGAGGUGAGGAGGAGCUUGAAACCUAGGGUUUCGCCAAAUCGUGAGAGAAGGAGAAGAGAGAGAGAGAGAGAGAGAGAGAGAGAGUCCGUCUAAUUUAUGGGAAGGGAGAGGGAAGUUAGUAAUUUGGGGGAGGGAAUUCUGAUUUGCUGAAAAAUAGUCAAAAAGCUCAUAGGAACGAAAUUUGUACCGCCGUUUUAAAAUAACUUACUGUGGCGAUUAACCGACGUAAUAUAUCGUGCAUUGUGGCGGUUAUUAGAAACCGCAUUAAUAAAAACGCCACAAUAUCUCCUUUUUUCUUGUAGCGAGGGUAUACGCUAU